rnacentral:rRNA from 1 species
GACGAACGCUGGCGGCGUGCCUAAUACAUGCAAGUCGAGCGAAGCGGCGGAUGGGUGAGUAACGCGUGGGUAACCUGCCCUUAAGUCUGGGAUACCAUUUGGAAACAGAUGCCAAUACCGGAUACUUAAGGAUUGACCUGCGAUGCAUUAGCUAGUUGGUAAGGUAACGGCUUACCAAGGCGAUGAUGCAUAGCCGGGUGGAGAGACUGAUCGGCCACAUUGGGACUGAGACACGGCCCAAACUCCUACGGGAGGCAGCAGUAGGGAAUAUUCCACAAUGGACGAAAGUCUGAUGGAGCAACGCCGCGUGAGUGAAGAAGGUUUUCGGAUCGUAAAGCUCUGUUGUUGGUGAAGCGGUAAUCAACCAGAAAGUCACGGCUAACUACGUGCCAGCCGCCGCGGUAAUUC